GAUGAACGCUGGCGGCGUGCCUAAUACAUGCAAGUCGAACGCUGAAGGAAGGAGCUUGCUCUUUCCGGAUGAGUUGCGAACGGGUGAGUAACGCGUAGGUAACCUGCCUGGUAGCGGGGGAUAACUAUUGGAAACGAUAGCUAAUACCGCAUAACAGUAGAUGUUGCAUGAUAUCUACUUAAAAGGUGCAAUUGCACCACUACCAGAUGGACCUGCGUUGCAUUAGCUAGUUGGUGAGGUAACGGCUCACCAAGGCGACGAUACGUAGCCGACCUGAGAGGGAGCUCGGCCAGACUGGGACUGUGACACGGCCCAGUCUCCUACGGGAGGCAGCAGUAGGGAAUCGUAGGCAAUGGACGGAAGUCUGACCGAGCAACGCCGAGUGCGGGAGGAAGGGUUUCGGAUCGUAAAGGUCUGUUGUAAGAGAAGAACGAGUGUGAAGGUGGAAAGUUCACACUGUGACGGUAUCUUACCAGAAAGGGACGGCUAACUACGUG
rnacentral:rRNA from 1 species